rnacentral:lncRNA from 1 species
UUGCGCCUCAAUGAUAAAUUCAGCAUGCGCUGUCGUAGUUUCCAAGGUUGCCAAAUGCUCGCACCAGUACCGAAAAAUUUUUUCCGUCUAAUCUCAUCUCAAAUUCAGCUCAUGUAUUAUGUAUGAACGGACAGAGUCGGCCAAUUUUUCCCAUUUAUCCCGGCAUGAGUCUGUCCAGUUCGCGGCGUCCUUUCAACUACAAGCUUCAAAUAGACACAAAACUUCAUUUCGGGCUUUGUGAUUACCUGAAUUACCUGCAUACCACGCGCCGACAAUGGAAGAUAUAAACUUCGUCUGGCUCUCCGUCUCCCGUCCUUCCCCCCUCCCGUACUUCAGCUCUCAGCUAUUGCGUCGUAACACUCAUUCGGGAUGAUGAUAGUAUGUUAUUGUUUUGAUUACGCCGUUCAAGCCUUUAACUCGGAAUCGUGCAGUUCGUAGUUUAAAUAGUAUUUAUUGCGGUAGAAUUUGCGGUAUUAUGUGAUUUUAUAUUACAAACAAAGUGGAACUAAUCAGUGUUAUUCGUCAAAUGAAUGUGAAGUUCUCAACUGCUCAUCAGGAGUCGCGGGAUGAUGAUUGAAAAGUAGCGAUGGGAAGAUGCAGUCCAGCGGAGAUCCCUCGGGACGCGGACGUCGGCUGCGGGGGCGGAGUGUGCGCGGGGGCAAGUGCGGGGGGGCCGCGGCCGGGGGGCCAGGGCCCAUGCGGGUGUAGCCGGUUGGCGGGGCCCCCGGAGCCGGAUCCGGAGGGCGAGAUGGGGGCGGGGGGUCGGCGCCGCUCGAGCCACGGGCGCGGCAACUGUUACUGUGCCGGUGUCGUGGGUGACGAUGGAGUGGAGUGCGACGGUGACGGUGCGCGUGGAAGUGGCAGUGGUGAAUGGAUAUUAAGGGAGGGCCGCGAGGGUGACGCGAGUACAAGUGCAAGUGCAAGUGGGAGCGGGGCCCGGCUCAGGAGGGUCAAGGCCCACCGGGGCGGCAGCGGGGACGACGUGUCGUGGAGCGCCUGGACCCUCACCUGGCUCUGGAUCACCGUCAUCCUCCUCUCGACGCCGCUGGUAGCCGUCAACAUCAAAGGAGGUAUGUAUCAAAACCACGCCAUUGCCAAACGUCUCAUCAAGCGGUUGAAUAACGUUGAAGGUAAAAUAAACAGGGUGUCUACAAGUCUGGAAAUAGUACUGAUUUUUUAAGGGCGGUCCGGAAGCACUGAAAAUGUGCGGAAAUUCCGCAAGAAGGUCCGGAAUUUUAUUUAUUUUUUGUCAUUUUUGUCUCAAUUUGAGCGAGAAAUUGAA